rnacentral:lncRNA from 1 species
GUCAAGUUCAAUCAGGAAGGCGGGUCAAGUUCAAUCAGGAAGGCGGGUCAAGUUCAAUCAGGAAGGCGGGUCAAGUUCAAUCAGGAAGGCGGGUCAAGUUCAAUCAGGAAGGCUAAUCAAUUUCAAUCAGGAAGGCGGGUCAAGUUCAAUCAGGAAGGCUGAUCAAGUUCAAUCAGGAAGGCUGAUCAAGUUCAAUCAGGAAGGCUGGUCAAGUUCAAUCAGGAAGGCUGGUCAAGUUCAAUCAGGAAGGCGGGUCAAGUUCAAUCAGGAAGGCGGGUCAAGUUCAAUCAGGAAGGCUGAUCAAGUUCAAU